rnacentral:rRNA from 1 species
UGGGGAAUAUUGCACAAUGGGGGAAACCCUGAUGCAGCGACGCCGCGUGAGCGAAGAAGGCUUUUGAGUCGUAAAGCUCUGUCCUAUGAGAAGAUAAUGACGGUAUCAUAGGAGGAAGCCCUGGCUAAUUACGUCCCAGCAGCCGCGGUAAUACGUAUGGGGCGAGCGUUGUCCGGAAUUAUUGGGCGUAAAGGGUACGUAGGUGGUUUUUUAAGUCAGGUGUCAAAGCGUGGAGCUUAACUCCAUUAAGCACUUGAAACUGAAAGACUUGAGUGAAGGAGAGGAAAGUGGAAUUCCUAGUGUAGCGGUGAAAUGCGUAGAUAUUAGGAGGAAUACCGGUGGCGAAGGCGACUUUCUGGACUUUUACUGACGCUCAGGUACGAAAGCGUGGGGAGCAAACAGG